GAAAUCAAUUAUCAAACUAUAAAACACUAAGGCUUACUACUUUUGUCUUAAUUCAACCUAUAAUCCAUUCUACGACUAUCAAUUCAACAAUACUUCUAUAUUCUUAUACGUUCAUCUCCCACUUACUCUCUUUGUGGUUUAGAUAUAUUCAAUUACUGAUCUCUAGCUUACUUAUUGUAUCAAUUUUUUAAUUCAUCACUUAGAAUUACAACUCUCACAGUCUGGCUCUCGGCUUACGACUCUCACAGUCUGGCCCUCGAUCUCUCUUUUCUUAACCUCUUUAUCCUACCAAAAGAUGAUCCGUUGUCAUGUUGUAACAUGAGUAUACCAUGAAAAUAUAAAGA
rnacentral:lncRNA from 1 species